AUCAUCCUGCGGGAGAGUCUCCCUGCUCUAGUUUUGCACGUACUGCUAGUUGCUACAGCAGAGCUCGAUUGGAGACAUACCUCUCACGCUAUACCUUUGGCUCUGAAAGGAAGAAACUGCAGAGAGAGCACAAACCUGCAUGGCCAUCAUGAAGGCAACUCGACCAGACUAGUACAUGUGCAGCCAGCCCAGCCAUUGGUGAUGUCGUUAUGAUGAAUUUGAGCUCUGCGUAGUUCGUUGAGAUGGAAUCUAAAGCUGAAUUUGUCCCUGUUAAAGGCUCGCACGGAUGAAAUAAAACGCUAGAGAAUAUGGUUGUCUUGUGUGUGUCCCAUAAGGCCAUGUGGCGGUGACGCUUGGUCCUCGCAGGCGAUGAAUCGGCCUCUGGCGGCAGGGUGGUAUUCUAGACAACCAAAGAGUGGAGAAGGUCUUUUCGUCAAAAAGAAAAAAAGGGUGGAGAAGGGGAUGUGCUCUAGGAGGGUUUUGCUAUUUGUCUCUUUUUUUUCUUAGCGAGAGAAAUUUUUGAUCUAUUCAUAAUCAAUUAUGUUAGUGCAGAAAACACCAGAUGUAACAAAAACUACAAUCAGAUCCGUGGACCACCUUUCGUUGACUAUAAGUACUGGCUCAAGCCAAAGGAGUGCCAUCGUCAAUACCCUUCCUUCAGCACAGUUUGAAGAUAAGGCCUAGCCUAGACAAGGUAGCAAGCGACAGAAGAUUACAUCGAAUAGUUCUCCACAAGAGAGGGGAAGAACAUUGUAUUGACAUCCAAAAAGAAAGAAGAAGCCAUCUAGCUAAUAA